GCCGCUCAGCAGAGCCGGGUAGCGGAGCGCGGGGGGGCUGACAGCCUUCAUUAGAGCUACGCGCCGCUAACGGAGGCGGCAGCUGCCGCUCGGCGGGGCCCAGGGUAUCGCCCAACAGCUGCAGACGCGGCCCCAGUGGUGGGGGAGCGCGCGGCGAGAUGAAGUGAGCGCCCUGGCGGGGGAAGCCGCCCCUCGGUUGCAGAACACGAGGUCUGGUCGCAAAGGCUGUGUUCAAAGUCUUGUAAGCGUCUGGGCUUUGCAUUUUGCAGGAAGAGGGGAGGUUUGUGAAUGGUGUUUACUCAAACUGUGGUGACAUUAAGAGCCACAGUAUAGUUUCCAGAGACAAUGGAUGGAGAUGUACUUAGUGUGCGAGCACAUUGUAACAAUUUAAUCUCCCUUGUCUAAGAGGAGUGGCCGACUGACUUUGCAAUUUAUGUGUAUUAAAGUUGUGAUUAUGCUAAAAGUACAGUUUAUAAAGAUGUAUGUAUUAAAACAGGAAUGUGAAGGGGCUUGUUUCAAGAGAAAAUGGAGGAGAAAGUAGAGGAGACGUGGAAAGCAACAUGCUUGGAUAUGCAGCUGGAGAAGUGCUUCCUGCCAGAGAUCUGCUGCCUGUAGAGGAGGCUGGAGAAGGACCGGUGUUGCUGUUUGUUCAAAUUAUGCCAUAAAAUUCUGAGCUUUGUCUUAUGAUCUUCCAACAUUUCUUACAUUAUUGGGCACUAAGCACCUUGCAGUAGCAGGACAUUUCAGACUUACUGCUGCUUUAUUGCUAUUACAAAUACUGUCAUGGCAACUAAUAGCACUUGUGCAGACAAGCAACCUUUUGUAGAGACUCAAGCAACAGGACCACUGGGUGGCCACCCGGUGAUUACCUUUGUCUCCUUUUAUUAUGAGUUAGGGAGAAGUACCUCUGUUAUCAAUGUCACUUACUGAACAUUCCUGUGCUUCCAGUUUCACUGGUCUUGCAGCCAGCUCUUCAGCUGUGCAUGUCUGUCAGCAAUCCUUGAGAUCAGGGACAACAAUCUUGGAGACAGUGGACCUCAGUUCCUCACACCAGUCCUUGAGAUAAUGGAACCCAGGGUCUUAUCUCAGUUCUUCACACCCAUCUUCCAGAUAGUGGACCUCAGCUCCUCACACCAAUCUUUGAGAUAAUGGACAGUGGAAUCUGAUUUCAGCUCAGUCUCUCACAAUUCUUCUAAUUGUAUAUGAUUGAUAAGUACUUACUUUACCCUAAAAUCUGGUACAUAGACUUUAAAUAGUAUGUUGCACAGUUUGAGCUUGCAAUGAAUUGUAUUUUGAGAGUAUGUUCUUAGUACUGCGUAUAAGUAUCUUUUAAAAACCUAAGUCUUAGUUUGCAUACUCCACAGAAGAUAGGAGACUGUGCACAUGGUCCCUCCCACUUUACAUGCUUCAUAUUUGUACUCUGGAGUCUAAAGAUUAUGUGGUUGGUCAUAGUUAAGUGGGGAGAGGGAAGGUUUGGAUGUGACAAGAGCAGAGCUCAGAAUAUCUGGCUUCAAAAUUGUUGCAGCUCUGUAUCUUAAAGGCAGGCCGUGGGUGUGUGCCAGUGGUGAGUAAGUAGGUAUUUUGAGUGGGACAGUGCUUUCCUAACUCACGUGUACCCGUUAGCACACUUGGUCAGCAUGGAAUAUAGUCUGUGAUCAGCAUCUUU